GGAAAAUAGCUGGAUUGAAUGAAAUUUCUAUUUUUAGUUUUUUGAAGAAUCUCCAUACUUCCAACUGGUAUUUUAAGUAACAAAAAAUAGCAAACCGUUCCAAGCAUUAUGGUUGUUGUGGGGAGUUAAAUAAAACAUCGUCCGAGAAGAAAAUAAAGAUGCGUUUAUAGAGAAAAACUUGGACACUGGUUUCCAUUUAUGGAAACUACAGAGAUUUAAGAGAAAGCUGUACAGGGAAGACCCUUCUCAGAGUGACACAGGUACAAACUAUGGAAGUAUCGAUGCCCUUCUAAGACACUAAAGAACCACCAUGUGGAUGGGACCUUGUGGAAUUUAGUCUUCCUAUCUACAAAGGUUAGACUUGGCACCGAUGAUAGGAUAAGGCGGCUGGACUUGAGGAGAGGUGGGGGACAGGAUCAUCUUGAUGAUGCUAAUUUGCUGCCUGAGACUCUUCUGUGAGAAAAAUUUUACACCUAAGCUCAGGCUUACUGGAAGGACUGAUUAGUCGCAUCUGCCACGAAGGAGACACAUGUGCUGCUGCAUUUCUGAUUGCCGUUAGCCAGACCAUCAUUAAGAUUCCGCCCAGGGUCAACCCAUUUUCUGGUCCCCCUUCUGUCUCUCUUAGAAG
rnacentral:lncRNA from 1 species